UUUUUUAGACAUAGGAGCUUCUCUUUAUCUCAUUCUCUCGCAUUUAUAGAGAUUUUUCUGUGUAUCUUAAGUUCGUUGUAGAGUUUUCAAAGAGAAUAAGUUUUGCGGCCCUUAGCGGAGUAAUACGAGUAAUGAUUUAUUUCCUUCGCACUUUACUUUUCAUGAACAGCUUCUUUGUUUCAUUCUCUCGUAGCUGUAAUCUUUUCUGUACAUCUUAAGUUCGAUUUAGCUUCAAAGAGACUCAGUUCAACGACACCAAACGGAGUAGUACGACUAAUUCGUUCUCUCUUUUGGACAUAAUUUCGUAAACAGCUUCUUUAUCUUAACCCUUCGUAGCUGUAAUGACUUUUCUGUGCUUCUUAAGUUCGCUGUAGAGUCACCACAGAGAAUCAGUUUGGCGUCCUUAAACAGUGUAAUAGGUCUAAUGUUUUCUUUCUUUCGUAUUUAUUAAAAGAAAAACCUACACAACCACGUUACUCUCCUAAAUAAAAACCAGACAGCUGCAAAGAUUUCUCCGCGCAUCUUAAAUCACAGGACGGAGGCACUCGCUCGCCCACCACACCUGGCAUAUGUAGCCCACCUCAAUAGAACACCUGUCAAUCUUCUCUGUCCAGGUAUCGCAAGCUUUAAAGAGAAUACGCACUAAAUAAAUCUCCGGAACACGCUCGCCCCAUUUGGAUUACUCGCCCACAAACACCAUCUGUCCGUCAACCCUUUCCCGGUCUUGCGUGCUAAAAAUGGACUCUCGCUAAAUGUGAAGUCUGGUACUACCUGAGAAUGGAUACCUGGUCAUUUUGGGUGUACUUAAGAAAAACAAAAUUGAAGGUAUAGAAAAGUAAGGUUCUGUAUACCUGUUUAAAAAUUCCAACCAAACCGCAUCCAGCGUAUAUUAGUUUCACACCAUUUCUGUUUUAUCUUUUUUGUUUAUAGUUUGCUCUAUCUCCCUUCCCGUAGCGAGAGAAGAUGAUAACACUAUACAAACGAAUACAAGAAUCGCUUCGAACCUAACCUAACCAUUCCCAGGAGUUUACAAUUUCACAAGACAUCAAUUUUAUCUUUUCUGUUUAUAAUCUGGACUGUCUCUUUUACCGUAGGGAGAUAACACAUGACAACACCACAGAAACGGACAGAAGGGGCACUACAAACCUCACCUUACCCUUCUGGCAUAUUAAUUACACCUACUCUGUUUACAAUUUGCUUUAUCUCCCUUCCCGUAGAGUCUAGAGAGAGAGAGAGAGAGCAUGACAACGCCACAGAAACAGAGACGAGGGGGCCACGCCAGCCUCACCUUCUCACCCUUUCGGCGCUAUUAACCAACUUGCACCGCGCUCCCAGGCCGUGAAGGGGAGACCAGCUUAAUUAGGCGGCGGAACACGUGUUGGAGAGCGUCUGUAUGAAAGGGCUGCCGCGGCCACUCCCUUCCAAAGCACGUUAGCUACGGCGACGCGUCCUUAACCUUCCACGCCCCGCCGCCGCGCCAGCAACUCUCCCACUCCUCGCUUCAUAUCCAUUAGGGAAGAGGAGGGAGCGAGCAGCGAGGAGCGAGGGGAGAGCCGAGGAGCGAGGGCCAGCUACAGCCACGACGACCGGCAGGCUGUGUUAUCAUACCUGGUUCUCUGUGCUAUAAUUCCCGGCGCUUAGUUUGUUGGUGGGAGAGUUUAAGGUAAUGGGCGUUUGUUUGUGUUUGUUUGCUUGCUUGCUUGUUGGUUGGUUUGUUUAAUAGUUUUCGCUUUCUCUGUUUGUUUCUUUGUUCGUUUUUGUUUUCCUGUCUGCUUGCUUGUUUGUUUUUCUCUCUUUCUGUUUGCUUGUUUUCUUUCUAUGUCUCUGAUUCUCUGUUUCUCUCUGUCUCUAUCUUACUUUCUUUGGUUACGGUUACGCUUCGUUAUUUAUGAUUUACUUGGUUUUUAUUGUGUCUGUGUUAUUCUCUUUCUUUUCUUGUAUUUUUCCCUUUCUAUCUCUUUUUCUUUUUUUCUGGGAUUAUGCUUUCUUGCUUCCAUAUAAUUUACUUAGUUUUGUUACAUUUCUGUGUCAUCCUCUUUCGCUUCUUGUAUUAUUCUUGCCUCUCUUUUCUUCUCUCUUUCUCGUGUUCACUGCAAUGGAGGAAUAAUGAAGUAUUUCCCAUUUUUACGCAUCCCGUGUGUUGAGUAAGUUCAUCUGUUUGUCUUUCCGCUAAACACACACACACGCACUUCAGGAUUCUUACUUUCAUCCCACGCUUAAACAUAUCAGGCUUUUUACCUCCACUCCUCAGCUCCCUUGCAAUAUCUGGAGAGCUCGUGGUGGAGAAGAAAAGUGAUAUACAUUCAGUUUUUCUCGUAAUGUCUGUUUUGCGUACUAGUGUUGUCAUAUGUUUCUGGUUCGACACUUCCAAGCAUUUAUAUUCAUCUUUUUUUCUCUAUUCUCGUAGUUCAAGAGUUUUUUUUUAUUCUAUUCAUCAUUCAUUUUUCCUCGUUAUGUCUGUUUUGCAUAUUAGUGUUGUCAUAUGUUUCUGGUUCGACACUUUCAAGCAUUUAUAUUCAUCUUUUUUUCUCUUUUCUCGUAGUUCAAGAGUUUUUUUUUUAUUAUAUUCAUUAUUCAUUUUUCCUUGUAAUGUCUGUCUUGCUUGUUAGUUUUCUUAUUCAUCUCUUCUCACACUCUUCUAAGUCUUCAUUCAUGUUUAUUUCUACCAUGUUUCUCGUAAUUCUUCAAGAGCCUUUUUUUUAUUCAUCAUUUCUCUCGCACUUCCUCGAAAGCGCACAUCAGAUUGACAAGAUUUCGUAUACUCGUUCGUCAUUCAUAUCUACUUCAACACUGUAAGGAAUUCAUGUUUAUUUUUUUUUCACUUUCCUCGUAAUUCCUUAAGAGCAUUUUAUUUCAUUCAACAUUUCUCUAACAUUCAUUUGUCUUUUAAUUCCUCGAGAUCUCACUUCAGUUUGCCAGAUUAAAAGAUAUUUCCAUUUUAGUGUUCCUGGUUAUUUUAGGUAAUCUGUUUGUUCUUCAUUCUCCAUAAAUAUUUCAGCCCAUCUCUUUUUAUUCUCUUCUUCAUUUAUCUUUUAAUUCCUCGAGAUCUCACUUCAGUUUGCCAGAUUAAAAGAUAUUUCCAUUUUAGUGUUCCUGGUUAUUUUAGGUAAUGUUUCCUUUACAUUCUAAGCAAAUAUUUCAAUCUUUCUCUUUUUAUUCAACUCUUCAUUUGUCAUUUAAUUCCUCGAGAUCUCACUUCAGAUUGGCUAGAUUAAAAGAUAUUUCCAUUUUAGUGUUUCUGGUUAUUUUAGGUAAUCUGUUUUCUUUAAAUUCUACGCAAAUAUUUCAAUCUUUCUCUUUUUAUUCUAUUUUUCAUUUGUCUUUUAAUUCCACGAGAUCUCACUUCAGACGGGUUAGAUUUAGAGACGUCCAUUUUCGAUUUAGGUUAUUUUAGGUAAUUUUUUUGCUCUACUUUCUACGCAAAUAUUUCACUCCAUCUCCUUUUAUUUUAUUUAGUAUUUAUCUUUUAAUUCCUCAACAGAUCCCUUCAAAUUGGAGAGAUUAGAAGAGAUUUAUAUUUCACUUCUUGUUCUUUACUUCAUCCGUUUAUUUCUCCAUUCUGCACAAAUAUUUCAUUCUAUUUUUCUUCAUCAUUUCCUCGCUCUUCCUCGCAAACUCCUUUCAGAUUGGCAAGAUUUUAAUUAAAGAGAUAUCCUUUUAAUUUUCCUCGUUAUUUUAGUAGGUCCAUUUUUUCUUCAAUCAACGUAAAUAUUUUUAGUUAGUCUCUCUUUAUUCUAUUCAGUAUUUCAUCUUUUAAUUCCUCAACAGCUCUCUUCGGAUUGGUGAGAAUUAAAGAGAUUUGCAUUUGAAUUUUCCUCGGUUUUAUAGUUAAUCCGUUUUCUUCUUCUUUCUACACAAAUAUAUUAGUUCAUCUCUUUAUUCUAUUCAGUAAUUCAUCUUUUAAUUCCUCAACAGCUCUCCUCGGAUUGGUGAGAAUUAAAGAGAUUUACAUUGAAAUUUUCCUAGGUUUCGUAGUUAAUCCAUUUUCUUCAUUCUACACAAAUAUUUCAGUUUUUUUAUACUAUUCAUCAUUUCUCUCGCAGUUCCUCGACAGCCCCCUUCAGAUUGGUGAGAUUUAAAGAGAUCUAUAUUUUAAUUUUCCUCGGUUUUGUAGUAAAUCCGUUUAGAUUUCCACCUCACACAAAUAUUCAAUUCAUUUCCUAUUAUGUUUAUCCUUUUCUUGUCCUUCCUCGAGAGCUCCAUUCAAACUGUCAAGAUUUAAAUAUAUUCCAGUUCUAUUUUCCUUUUGAUAGCGGGGUACUUUUUCAGCCAUUAAGUCCUUCCUUCUACGCAAACACUUCCUACGAUCUAUUUCUAUUCAUCUUUUCCCUCGCGACUUGCAACAUUUAAACUGGCAACAUUUAAAUAUAUUCCAGUUCCAUUUUCCUUUUGAUAUCGGGGUACUUCUACUUUUUUUUUUUUUUUUUUUUUUUUUUUUUACGUUGAUUGCCUAUUGCGCCGGUAGGCAUCUUCCCGGUGGGGCCUGAUGGUCGGCCCAAGGCUUCUUCCAGGUGGGGCCUGAUGGUCGGCCCAGCCCGUUCUGGCGCAGGCGAGUGUUUAUAGUGGCGCCAUCUUGCAUUAAAGAUACUUUUCAUUCCUUCAACGAAAGCACUUCCUACAAUCUAUUUCUAUUCAUCUUUUCCGUCGCGACUUCUCAGUCCCUCCUCACAACGACGUAUACUGACCUUUCCUUGCAUAUAUACUCAACAAAUAUCAAAGACUGAAAUACAAAACCUUUACGCGAUAGAGAAAGACACAGCCACUCACAAACGACUCAAACCCACGCACGGUAAUAUCCAACAUUACAAAAUAUACACAUCAAUCCUCGGAGGCGAUUCUUUUAGCGGAUUAGACUCUUUACAGCGAGGGUAUAACGAGACUCGAUUCCCCGCCAGCUUUGUGACAAUCUCGAUCUGCUUUCCCACAUUUUCCGCCUUUGCCGAGCUCCUGCAUUUUCUAAUAUCGUUGGACACGUGUUACUUGGAGACAGGGAGUGCAAAAACGAGGUAGAAGGGGAGAGCGAGCGGAGGAUAAAAGGAGGAAGAGGAUGAAGAGGAUAAGCGAGGGAAGCGGAGGAAGGAAGAGAGAGACAGAGAGAAGGGAAUAACCGAGGGAUGCCGCAGUGGGGAGAGAGAACGCGGAGAAAGAAGAGGAGGAGGAGGAGGAGGAUGAGAGGCAGAAAUUGGAAAGACAGGAAGAAGUGAGGAAACAGAAUAAAAACGGGAAAGAAGAGAAAGAAGAAGAGGAAGAGAAAUGUAUAUAAAUUUGAAAACAACAACAAGAAGAGCAAUUUCAUGAGGGGAGAAAGAGGAAGAGGAGGAGGAGGAGGAGGAGGAGGAAAGACAUGAAGAGGGAAGUACACAUAAUAAGAAAUGAGAAGAGAGGGAAUAGGAAACAAAAAUGAAAAGACAAGAAAGAAGAGGAAAAGAAACAUAGAUUAACUAGAAAAAAAAACAGCAACAGAAAAAAACAGGAAGAAAAGAAGAGAUGGAACAGAAAGUAAAUAAAAAAACGGGAAAAGGAGAAAGAAAAAAAAGAGUAACGGGAACAUAAAUUAACCUCAAAGCAACACAAACAACAACAACAAAAACAGAUACAAUUUCACGAGGGGAUUGUGGGACCUGUGGACAAUAAAAGUAAAGGACCUGGAAUUGAAAAGCUGAAUUCCCUCGUAGACUUAGAGAGAGAAAGAAAGACACUGGGGAAAGGGCGAGGAUUUGAAGGAGAAGAAGAAGGAGGAGGAGGAGGAAGACGACGAUGGAGGUGGAGGAGACGAAGGAGGGGGAGGGGAAGGUAGACCAGGUAAUAAAACGAAGCUAGGAGAUACAAAAGGAGAAUAAGAGAGUAAAGAUGGAGGGGUUAGAAGAAACUGGAGAAGGAGAACGAGGAGAAGGAGGAGGACAGAGAAGAAAGAGGAGAAGGAGAAGGUAGAACAAAUAAUAAAACGAAACUAGGAGAUACAAAAGGAGAGUAAGAGAGUAAAAAUGGAAGGAUUUGAAGGAAUUGGAGAAGGAGAAGGAGGACGAGCAGGACGAGAAGGAGGGGGCAGAGGAGAAGGAGAAAGUAGAAUAAUAAUGAAGAAUAAUAAAAGGAAGCUACAGACACAGAAGGAGCAUAUGAGAGUGAAGAUAGACGGGGAUGAGAGCUUAGACGAGGCUGAUGUAUGUAAAGAAGAUUGAAGGCGCGGAUAAAGACAUGAGAAGGAGAUGAAGAAGAGGAUGAGGAGCAGGAGGAGGAGGAGGAGGAGGAGGCGGAAGACAGGACAAGGAACAGUGCAGCGGGAGAUAAAGUGGAACAAGAGGAUUAAGGGCCUUCUAUUCCUCUUUGACAAUAUUUAAUAACGUGUACAGGAAAUUGGAGUACAAAGAAUUAGUCAAGCCGUGAUGAUUCAAACAACAUUACCACGAAUUUCCAGUAAGAUUAAAAUGUUCUAUCUUUUAACGCUUUUCAGAGGAGGCAAAAGCAGAGAUUAGCCGCGAGAAUGAUAGCGCAGAACAGCAUAUGUAGUCUAAUCUUUCCAGCCUUCAAAAACCUUUAAUGGGGUGACUACGGGGGUCUUCCUCCGCAUCUGGUACGUCCUUAAUUAAUUGUUCUUAAAAAGGAUUAAGUAUACGAGAACAUUCACAGGUACUUACUUUUCUUCAUUGAACGCUAAUUUGAGGUAUUCCUUAUAACAUUUGAGCGGCAAGUUUUACAGUGCGUAAAAAAACAACUCAAGAUACUGACAUUAACACUAAGCAGAAAAGGAGGUUAAUCGGGUUCUCAUCUAUUUUCUAAGUCCGAAAAGAAGAUAAGAACAUAAGAACGUAAGGAGUCUGCAAGAGGCCGGUUGCCCUAUACAAGGCAGCUCCUGUACACUCAACCCCACCUUACCUCACCAUCCAUGGCUUUAUCUAACCUCUUCUUGAAUGUAUCUACGGUAUUGGCAUCCACAACAUGGCUCCCAAGCCUGUUCCAUUCGUCCACCACUCUACUGGUGGACCAAUUCUUGCCUAUGUCUUUGUUAAAUCGCAAACUUAAAACCAUUGCUACGCGUCCUACCUGACUCUUUUACUAUCAAAAUCUUAUUGACAUCCCCUUUAUUAAAGCCCUUCAUCCAUUUAUAGACUUCGAUCAAGUCUCCUCGCAACCUUCGCCUUUCUAGAGAGUGUAGAUUUAACUGCUUCAGCCUGUCUUCAUAAGGCGUUUCUCACCCCCUGAAUAAUCUUUGUCAUCCUCCUCUGUACAGAUUCUAACAUCUUGAUAUCCAUUUUAUAGUAGGGGGACCAGAACUGAACUGCAUAAUCGAGAUGAGGUCUAACUAGUGCUAAGUAAAGUUUGAGGAUGACUUCAGCGCUCCUAUUGCUUACGCUCCUUGAGUGAAACCAAAUACGCUGUUUGCCCGAUUUUUAGCCUGAAUGCAUUGAGCCCUGUCAAAUAUAUGUCCGAAAUGUUUGAGAAUAGGGGGCCAUAGUGGGUUUAACUUAUUUUUGUUGCCUUCACUGUAUAUAGACAUUACUGCGGUUUUAUAAGGUAUCGUGACAGGUUUAUGCAUGCAGGGGAGUAAUGAAGGAAGUUCCCGCGAUAAAAAUGACGGUGGGUGCAUAAACGGGGCAAAUUAUUAUAGCUUCCUCGACACAUAGCUCGGUAUUUUAAGACACUUUGGCUUCUCACAUCAGCUAUUUCUAAAGUUCAAAGAGUGGGUCAGUCAGUUUCUAAUCAGUGCUUCUUCAGGUUCAUGGUACAGAAGAAGGGUCAGGCUACCACCAGGGUCAUAUCUCUACUCCUGGAUAUGCCCAAAACUCCUACGAAAGCCUUGUCAAAUAUAUGAACUUGGGCGACGAAAUGUUAAGUAAUACAGCCCAUAAAUUACUGUUCUUGUACGUUAGGGAUAAAUGAACGUGAUUUUCGCUAUUAAAGAUCCGGUUGAUAUAGAUACGGAAAAAAAAACUACAUACAUUUUCGACAUAUAAGUAAAUAAAUAAAUAUAAAAAAAGCGAUUUAAUGUAUAUUCAGAGCAAAAUCAUCACUUCUUUUUACUCUACUUAAAAAAAAAGAUACUCCCCAAGUUAAAUAAGAAUAACUAGACCAAAAACAGAUUUACGAUUUCAAGGUAAGAGGAGGAGAAGAGAAAGAGACAGAGAGGGAAACGAGGAAGAGAACACAAUGAGAAGAGAGGGAGAAGGAAGGAAGGAAACAAAACAAGGAACAGAGAAGGAAGUUAGGGAAAGAGAAGGAGGAGGACGAGAAGCAGGAAGAAGAGGAGGAGGAAAGCGAGGAAGAAUGACCAAUGAAAACGGGAAAGGGUUGGAGCGUGGAGUUCAAGGGGAGACUGAAGCAAACAGCAACAUUUUCGCACUAAGGAACCCGAAAAUGAGAGGGAGUGGAAGAUGGAUUGAAGGAGGAAGACGAAGUGGAGUGGGAACAAGCCAUCAUUAGAGGGAGUGAGAGAGAUAUGGAGUGAAGGAGGAGGGUUAAAUGAGGUAUCAGCAAGGAACCAUGAAAGAGGGAGAGAGAUGAAAUGAAGGAGAAUGACAACGUGGAGUAACAAAAAAAACGACUAUAUGAGGGAGUGGGAGAUGGAGUGAAGGAGUAAGAUGAAUUGGAGUGGAGUGGUAAGAAGCAUACGAAUUGGAGAAAGGUCGGAAUGAGGGUGGUAUGGGUGAGUAAAUGGAGUAAUGGAUUGAUGGAGUGGAGUGGAUUGGCGGUCAGUAAGCGAGCGGGCGGGUGAGAGGGAGGGAGUGAGAAAGGGGGUGAGGUAAGCUUAUGUAGGGAUGGAUCAGGUGGCUCCUUCACAAAGCUUACAGUCGCUCCAGACACGCACAGAGUAAGCUUUAACUUUAAGACUCAACUUGAAGAUAAACCCGUCAAUGUGCCAUAUACUUGUACCAUAACGCUUUGAAAACAACACUUACUAGCUUAACCUAGAUGAAAAGCUGCUAAGCUUAAAAUUCAGAAUCUCUUUUGCUAAAUAAUUAAGAGAAAGAGGUAAUAAUUUGGUACUCAGUCAGGCUUAAACACCGUAAGAACUUAAGAGACAAUUAUAGCAAGCUUGAAUACCAUAUCUUUAAAUUUCUGUAGUACUUAUAUAAACGUGCAUUGGUCAGGUUUAAAAUUGACAGUGAGUCUUUCAAUCAAAUUAUCUCCGUUCUCCCUUUCUUUCCCUUCUCUAAACCCCAGAACCUAACACAGCAGCAAUACCUGGGGAGAUCUUCAAUACUGGGUCUUCAAUACCUUCAAUAAUUCAAUAGCUUACGAGCUGGGAGAAAUCUUGGGAAACGGGGAGACCUUCGGAACCUUGGGGAUCUGAAGAACUGAGGAACGAACUGGGGAGAGUUUAUAGACUUGUGGAGAACUUAUGAAAUGGGUGAGAGUUUGUGAACUUUGAGGAGCUUAUGAACUUGGGGGGGGGGGGGGGGGGGUUAUAAACUGGGGAAAGUGCUCAUAAACUAGUGGAGCUUAUAAACUGGGGAAAAGAUAAUGAAUUGGGGGAGAGCUUGUGAACUAUAUGGUGUCUGAAGAGCUGUGGGCUGGCCUGGGCUAAGAGAGGUCGGGGCUAAGGGAGAGCCGAGGACACGAAGGCUUGUCUGGAGCGACUCAACUUUUAGACUUCGAAAGAAAAAUAUUGAGGUUGUGAAGUGGUAAACUCAUUCGUCAUAUCACGGGGCGUAAAAAAGGGUUGAAUACAGUUUUCUUUUUUUGCUUUCCUAAGUUUUCAGUUCAAUUUUUUAAGGGUUUUCCAUGCAAGAACUGUAUUUUCUCUUUUUUUGAUUUUUCCUUAAAUAUAUAACUCUUUAUCAUUAGUUACGUUAUCAUACUUAGUUCUAAAUCAUGCAUAUCAAGAAGAAAAUACAGUGCAAUUAUAUGGUUCUUUCUAACAAUGAAUACCAUAUCUAUAUAAUAAAAAAAAGAAUAAAAAGUAAAAAAUAAUACAUGAGGAAAAAAACUAUACCCUUAACCAUUUAUCUUCCUCUUCUUUCACUCUUCCAGUAUAAAAAAGAAAUAUAAUCACCAUAAUAAUCUACAAGGAAAAAAUAAUUAAAAAAACACAAAUCAAGGUACACAGAAGGAGAGAGGUGAACCCUGCCUCACUGAUUGACAAGAGACACU